CCUACGGGGGGCUGCAGUGGGGAAUAUUGCACAAUGGGCGCAAGCCUGAUGCAGCCAUGCCGCGUGUGUGAAGAAGGCCUUCGGGUUGUAAAGCACUUUCAGCGGGGAGGAAGGCGGUGAGGUUAAUAACCUCACCGAUUGACGUUACCCGCAGAAGAAGCACCGGCUAACUCCGUGCCAGCAGCCGCGGUAAUACGGAGGGUGCAAGCGUUAAUCGGAAUUACUGGGCGUAGAGCGCACGCAGGCGGUCUGUCAAGUCGGAUGUGAAAUCCCCGGGCUCAACCUGGGAACUGCAUUCGAAACUGGCAGGCUAGAGUCUUGUAGAGGGGGGUAGAAUUCCAGGUGUAGCGGUGAAAUGCGUAGAGAUCUGGAGGAAUACCGGUGGCGAAGGCGGCCCCCUGGACAAAGACUGACGCUCAGGUGCGAAAGCGUGGGGAGCAAACAGGAUUAGAUACCCGAGUAGUC
rnacentral:rRNA from 1 species